ensembl:lncRNA
AAAAAUUCAAAAAUGUCGGACGUUAGCGGAGUCGGUGCGUUGACGGGGCAAUAUGCUUUCAAAUGGACCAAGGAACAAACGGAGGCGUUCAUACGUCUCCGUUUAGAAAACAAGCAGCUGUUUACCGGGGGGAGAGACACCGCGGCGAACGGAUAUCGGAAUGUAAGUGUCCUGCCACAGGUCAAGGGACAGAGGAUGGCAAGGCGACGGCAGCAAAUUGGCCCUGGUUUGCCCUCAUGGACGAGGCAUUAGGGCAGUCUGCAGCAGUCUCGCCCCCUUGCCUUAGUGCCUCGAUCCAAGAGGAAAAACCAGGGCCAAGCACUGCACAAGAGGUAGAUGAAGGGAGAGGCGAGGAUGAGGAGACAGUAAGAGACAAGAGCAAAGAGAGAGCAGGGCACAGAGGAGAGAAGAGGAGAAGGGAGCGAGAGGAUCCAAUCCUACAGCUUCUAAAAGAGGAUAUUAAAUACCAGAGGGAGGCAGAUGAGAGAAGGGAAGCAGAGGCCAGAGAGAGGUCAAACCGCUUUUUUUUGCUGUUGGAGAGGUUGGCGGAAAAAUAAAGUCAAUUAAAUUGAA